rnacentral:rRNA from 1 species
AACGAACGCUGGCGGCAUGCCUAACACAUGCAAGUCGAACGAGACCUUCGGGUCUAGUGGCGCACGGGUGCGUAACGCGUGGGAAUCUGCCCUUGGGUUCGGAAUAACAGCGAGAAAUUGCUGCUAAUACCGGAUGAUGACGUAAGUCCAAAGAUUUAUCGCCCAAGGAUGAGCCCGCGUAGGAUUAGCUAGUUGGUGAGGUAAAAGGCUCACCAAGGCGACGAUCCUUAGCUGGUCUGAGAGGAUGAUCAGCCACACUGGGACUGAGACACGGUCCAGACUCCUACGGGAGGCAGCAGUGGGAAUAUUGGACAAUGGGCGAAAGCCUGAUCCAGCAAUGCCGCGUGAGUGAUGAAGGCCUUAGGGUUGUAAAGCUCUUUUACCCGAGAUGAUAUAGACAGUAUCGGAGAAUAAGCUACCGGCUAACUCCGUGCC